rnacentral:rRNA from 1 species
GUCGAGCGAGCUGAACCAACAGAUUCACUUCGGUGAUGACGUUGGGAACGCGAGCGGCGGAUGGGUGAGUAACACGUGGGGAACCUGCCCCAUAGUCUGGGAUACCACUUGGAAACAGGUGCUAAUACCGGAUAAGAAAGCAGAUCGCAUGAUCAGCUUAUAAAAGGCGGCGUAAGCUGUCGCUAUGGGAUGGCCCCGCGGUGCAUUAGCUAGUUGGUAGGGUAACGGCCUACCAAGGCAAUGAUGCAUAGCCGAGUUGAGAGACUGAUCGGCCACAUUGGGACUGAGACACGGCCCAAACUCCUACGGGAGGCAGCAGUAGGGAAUCUUCCACAAUGGACGAAAGUCUGAUGGAGCAACGCCGCGUGAGUGAAGAAGGUUUUCGGAUCGUAAAGCUCUGUUGUUGGUGAAGAAGGAUAGAGGUAGUAACUGGCCUUUAUUUGACGGUAAUCAACCAGAAAGUCACGGCUAACUACGUGCCAGCAGCCGCGGUAAUACGUAGGUGGCAAGCGUUGUCCGGAUUUAUUGGGCGUAAAGCGAGCGCAGGCGGAAGAAUAAGUCUGAUGUGAAAGCCCUCGGCUUAACCGAGGAACUGCAUCGGAAACUGUUUUUCUUGAGUGCAAAAAA